rnacentral:tRNA from 1 species
CGGUCCGUAGCUCAGCUGGUAGAGCACCUGACUCUUAAUCAGGGUGUCGAGGGUUCGAGCCCCUCCGGACCGA